AGCCUCCUAGGGAGGAAGAAGAUGGCAUAAUGAACCUCCUCAGUCAAACUAAACUCAGGAGCACAGGAUCUUCCUUGGUAAGUGCUCUCACCACUGGUUUGGAGAGUAAAGCAAGAGCUCUAGCGGAAGCACUCCUCAAUACUUCGAGCAAACAGAGGGCUGAUGGGAAGAUUGACAACGUCAGGCAACUAGGGGUUUCCUGAGAGAUUUCUGUACAGAGAAGCUCAGACACAGCUGCUGAAAGACGAGGAUGAAGGUUCAGAUGAGCAGAGUAAGAAUGCAGCCAUGCAGAGCAUCUCCAGACUUCCGUCAAGCUCUGCUCAGCCAAUGUACCAUGCUUGGACAAACAUGGUGCAGUUGCCAAUUGAUCUGUCAUAUUGUGGUUUUCAAAGAUGAACUGAGAAUGCUGUGAAAGGAGCUUGCUGUUGAAGAGCUGCCGAAAGACCUGGAGUAGGGACUUACAUUUUCAGCGUGGCUAACUUUCACUGACAUUGAAGAUGUCUCACUCAGAAGAUCAUCAAACCCAUGUUUUCUCUUCCUCUUCAGCAGACAAAGCUUCAUUCAUUUGAUGUGGAGAAGCUGAAGAAACUAAUUUUCUUCUUGAAAUAAGUGUGAAUUCUUUUUAUCUAGUGAUUUAACAACUCCUGACAAUGCUUACAUUUCACUUCAGAAAAAUUAGCUGUUUUCCUAAGUUCAGUCUUUCACUAAGUCUUUUAGUAUUCCCUUUCUCAACUCAGGCUAAUAUAGAAAGAAGUUAUGUAAUAGCUUCUUCAAAAUGACCUAUCAGUUGUACUAAUAAAAAAAAAACUUUCACAUUUACUACAAUUAGCA